rnacentral:sRNA from 1 species
GGGGACCGAACCCAGGGCCUUGCGCUUCCUAGGAAAUGCCACCUGAAACUCUUGCAUUACAUCAGCCAAGGUUUUUGCUGCAAGGUGGGGAAGUGCAAACAGAAUAGACAUGACCAGAGAAUUCAUGAUCGAAGUCAAAGUGGAGGAUAGAAACUGCCAUCAUAGAAACCAUGUGGGGCUGCACAUUCCAAGCAUUUGAAACUGUCCCCAUUCCAAGUUCCAAGGAAACAGACCACAUCCACACUCUCCACCCUAUGUCAACAUGCUCUACCAUAGUCUUCUCA